ACCGGCCGUGCCUUUCACCACUCCGCGUCGCUUCCGUCGCCUCUCCACCUCCGAUUCCCAGAUCCAAAUCCAAGCCCUAACCCUAACCCGAGAAUCCUCUCUCGUGGCUAAAGAUUUCCUAAAACCCUAACCCUAGAAGGAAAGAAAUUCUAGGGAACUCGCGCAUCCAUGGCGCUUAAUCUCCGGCAGAAGCAAAUGAGCCUCAUUGUCCGGAUGCUGAAUCUGAACCAGCCUUCGAACCGUGGCGGCGGAAUCUCCUCCGACACCGCCGUUGCCGCCGAGGAGGUCUACAAGAUCCUGAUAAUGGACGCCUUCUGCCUCGGAAUCCUCUCCCCCCUAAUCCAUGUUAAUGACCUCCGCAAGCACGGCAUCACCCUCUUCUUCCCCAUCGACAAGAGCCGCCAGACCGUCCCUGACGUCCCCGCCAUCUACUUCGUCCGCCCCACGCCAGAAAACGUCGAUCGGAUCGCCGCCGACGCUGACCGCGGCCUCUACGAGUCCUUCCACCUCAAUUUCUCCGCUUCCCUCCCCCGCCCCCUCCUCGAGACCCUCGCCUUCAAGACCCUCGAGAAGGACGCUGUGCACCGGAUCUCCAAGAUCCACGAUCAGUAUCUCGAGUUCGUCACCCUAGAGGACACCCUCUUCUCACUGGCCCAGCCCAAGGCCUACGUCCAGAUCAACGACCCCUCGGCCGGGGACCGCGAGAUCGAGGAGAUCGUGGAGAAGAUCGUUAGUGGCUUGUUUUGUGUCCUAUCUACCCUCGGGGUUGUGCCGGUAAUCCGGUGUGCGCGCGGCGGCCCGGCGGAGAUGGUGGCGUCGGCUCUGGAUUCGCGCAUCCGUGACCAUUUGGUGAUAAAAAACAAUCUUUUCUCAGAAAGUGGUGUUCUUGCGAGCUCCUUCCAGCGCCCGCUCCUCUGCAUAUUUGAUCGGAAUUUUGAGCUCGCAGUUGGGAUCCAGCAUGACUGGAGCUACCGGCCACUGGUCCAUGACGUGCUCGGAAUGAAGCUGAACAGAGUGACCAUGCCUGCAGAGAAGGCUGCCGCCAAAUCUUAUGAAUUGGACGUCUCCGACUCGUUCUGGGAUUCGAAUAGUUGGUCUCCCUUUCAGAAGGUUGCAGAAGAAAUCGAGACCCAGCUGAGCAAGUACAAGCAGGAUGUCGAUGAGGUUAACAAGCGGACUGGCGGCAAGGACGGAGUUGAAUUUGAUGGUACUGAUCUGAUUGGGAACACGAAGCAUCUGAUGAAUGCUGUGAACUCGCUCCCAGAGCUCACUGAACGUAAGAAGAUGAUCGACAAGCAUACCAACAUCGCCACCGUGCUCUUGGGUGAGAUCAAGGAGAGAUCUUUGGAUGGUUACUGCACUCUCGAGAAUGACUUGUUGACAAAAGGAAGUGUAGAUAAGAGUCAAUUGCUUAGUCUGCUCAAAGGGAAGGGCACAAAGGUGGAUAAGAUUCGGCUUGCGAUAACAUAUCUUCUUUCUCUUGAGACGACACCGCAAUCUGAAGUCGAGCCGAUAGAAGCAGCAUUGAGGGAGUCUGAUGUGGAUACUUGUGCCUUUCAGUAUGUGAAGAAGAUAAAGUCUUUGAAUGCAUCAUUGGCAGCUUCUGCAAGCUCGGCAAGCAGAAGCAACAUUGUGGAUUGGGCUGAGAAGCUUUAUGGGCAGUCUAUCAGUGCUGUGACUGCAGGUAUGAAAAAUCUUUUAUCGGGUGGGAGACAACUGGCACUAACGAGGACGGUUGAAGCAUUGAUGGAAGGGAAGCCGAACCCGGAGGUGGAUUCUUACCUUGUGUUUGAUCCACGAGCCCCUAGGUCAGGAUCUGGGGCUCAAUUGAGGGGACCAUUCAAAGAAGCAAUUGUCUUCAUGAUAGGUGGUGGGAACUAUGUUGAGUAUCGGAGUUUGAUGGAGCUGGCACAACGUUCACAGCCCGUCAAGCAUGUCAUAUAUGGUACCACGGAGGUUCUUAAUGGGGCAGAGUUUAUUGAGCAGCUCACAGAGUUGGGGCAGAAGAUGGGUCUAGGAAGCAGUGGAAUGGGUCCAUCCCAGUAAGGAGUUUUCCACCAUGUGCUGUUUCUGGUUGAGAGUUGUGGCAGAUGACUGUUACUCAGACUUAAGGAGUUCAUAGAGAGUUGUCUUGGCAAUCUUAGAUGAAAAAAGAAAUGUACGAACAUUCUUUCUGACAGGAGAUCUGCCAUCUGUAUUCAAGAAUCGUUGCAAAGUGACCAACCUCUGCAUAAAGUCUCAGAUGAAAAUGUUGAUGGGUGAGUGAACAAUUGAAACAGUGAUAUGCGGACAAAAGUGGGAAUAAGGGGAGAAACAAGAUGUAGACCUGUCGAAGUUUUUGUCAGUGUCUGGCAAUAAAGUAGGAUAUUUGGCAUAUGCCAGCAUACGAGCAGACUCAUGGGUGCGAUGCUAUGUGUAAAAGUGAAGCCAUGCAGUGAUGCAGU